GGGGAUAUAGCUCAGUUGGUGGAGUGUUUGCUUUGAAUGCACAAGGUACUGGGUUCAAACCCCAGAACCACA
rnacentral:tRNA from 1 species